GACGAACGCUGGCGGCGUGCUUAACACAUGCAAGUCGAACGGAAAGGCCUCAGCUUGCUGGGGUCCUCGAGUGGCGAACGGGUGAGUAACACGUGGGUGAUCUGCCUUGCACUCUGGGAUAAGCUUGGGAAACUGGGUCUAAUACCGGAUAUGAACUGCCUUUAGUGUGGUGGUUGGAAAGUUUUUUCGGUGCAAGAUGAGCUCGCGGCCUAUCAGCUUGUUGGUGGGGUAAUGGCCUACCAAGGCGUCGACGGGUAGCCGGCCUGAGAGGGUGUACGGCCACAUUGGGACUGAGAUACGGCCCAGACUCCUACGGGAGGCAGCAGUGGGGAAUAUUGCACAAUGGGCGGAAGCCUGAUGCAGCGACGCCGCGUGGGGGAUGACGGCCUUCGGGUUGUAAACUCCUUUCGACAGGGACGAAGCUUUUUGUGACGGUACCUGUAGAAGAAGCACCGGCUAACUACGUG
rnacentral:rRNA from 1 species